rnacentral:tRNA from 1 species
GGCGGAGUAGCUCAGUUGGUUAGAGCAGCGGAAUCAUAAUCCGCGUGACGGGAGUUCAAAUCUCUCCUCCGCUACCA